AUGGAGGGAGGAGGAGGAGGGAGGCGAAGGGGCUAUGAGGAGGGGAGUCGCUGUUUCUGCUGCCUCCGCCGCCCGCUCUCCCCUCAGAGCCCCGAGGCUGGCGGGCUCCUCCAGUCCCUGCUGCUUCGGCGGCUCCUCCCCUUCCUGAGCGGCGGCUCCCGAGCCUGCCCGCCGCCCUCGCCUCCGCGGAGCCGCUCCAUGCACGGGGACGGGCGGCGAAAGAAGGCGGCGUCGGCGUCGAGUUAGUCCAGUCUGAGCGACGGGAACGAGGAGACGGGACGCGCAUCCAACAGCUCAUCUGAAGACACCUGCUCCCGAGCAACAGGCUCGAGGUCAGGGGGCGGUGCCACACUGGAAUCCUCCUUGGAACUGCUUGGUAAAGGAGGAGCUGGCACUGACUCUGAAGCUUCCCCCCACAAGUCCUCUGCAUCAACUGGGGGUGGUGCGCUCGGCUCCUUGGAAAGGGCAUUACUCGUGGGAACUGGCUGGAGAGCAGGCUGCUUCCCUCCCACACGAUCCUGCUCAGACACAACAAUCCCCAACUCUGCUUCUUCUGGCUGAGGUCUAGGUUUCUCUGGAUAAGCCUCAUGGAAUUCUCUCACCAAAGUCGGAGCGUGCACAUUCUCCUCUGUUUCCCAGGAACGUUCAGUUGGAUCGUACCCCUUCCAAUGAAUCAGGUACUGAAGACGCCCUCGGCGUUUUCGCGAGUCCAGAAUCUGUUCUACUUCGUAUUCCUCCUCCCCCUCUACCAACAACGGCGGCGCGGGCUCCACUCGCGGACGGUGAGGGUCGGGGGCAGCAUCCUUGGUCAACAAUGCCCUGUGGAAGACUGGGUGCAUCUUGAAGCGACGGGAACGAGGAGACAGGGGAUGCGCAUCCAACAGCUCAUCUGAAGACACCUGCUCCCGAGCAACAGGCUCGAGGUCAGGGGGUGGUGCCACACUGGAAUCCUCCUGGGAGCUGCUUGGUAAAGGAGGAGCUGGCACUGACUCUGAAGCUUCCCCCCACAAGUCCUCUGCAUCAACUGGGGCCGGUGCGCUCGGCUCCUCGGAAAGGGCGUUACUCGUGGGAACUGGCUGGAGAGCAGGCUGCCCCCCUCCCGCACGAUCCUGCUCAGACACAACAAUCCCCAACUCUGCUUCUUCUGGCUGCAGAGGUGCCUGAAACUCAUGUCUCCCUCCUUCCUGUCCCUUCUGAGUUGGCUGCAGCGCAACACUUUCUGUCCAAACAAUAGACGUUCCUUUUGUUUACUACAACAUUUUUGUGGUUUCUAAUUUUAAUUUCCCCCCUACUUCUUAAAUAACAAAAUUCUAAGAUAGAUGUGCUCUCCAUCUCUCUAAUAUUGGGUAGAUUUGCAAUUUUGCUUGUACAAAAGUAAAGCACUUGUACUUUUGAGGCUGCAAUCCUCUAUGCACUUACCUAGAAGUAAGUACCACUAAACAGAAUAGUCUUACUUCUGAGUAAUCAUGCAUGGGAUUGCUCUGUAAAUUUCAUAAUAUGCCAAAAGUACAAUUUUUUAUACUAAAUGAUUAAUUUUAUAUUGUAAAACUAGGUAUUGCCUAUAGACUGUAUCCAGUGUUAGUCCUACUCAGAGUAGAUCCAUUGAAACUUAAUUCAACUGAGUCGAGUUUGUUGAUUUCAAGGGGCCUACUCUGAGAAGGACUGAGUAGCAGUAAUGGCAAUUUCCCCCAAAAUGUCUGCUUUUUUUCUGACUCCUUAUGGUUCAAACAUUUUCAGAAAUUUUACAUCUUUACUGGGGAGUAAGGCCCAGUGACUGAAUGGGGGUUACUUCUGAGCAGACAUGUAUAAGAUUUUGCUACUAGAUUGCAACCCUAUGCAUUCUGUAUUCAGAGUAACACUGAAUUUUUACUUCCGAGUAGGGCAUGUUGAGUAGUGCUGUUAGGCUGUGAUCCUAUGCACACUUACUUGGAAUGAAGUCCCACCAUAUAAAAUGUGGUCAAAGGCAAAGAGCUCAAUGCUGUGCAUGUAUCUUUACUCUGACAUUAAGCAUACAUGCAAAAAUUGGGCUUUUGGCCUAAUUAUAUUUUUAAGCCAUUUAUGCUCCAUCCUCUAGUUAAAAGGGCUCUCAGAGUGGAGUACAAGAAGCAGUGCCAAGAAGGUCCCUGCCCCUCAGGCCUACAAUCUAAAAUGACAACACAUGAGAAAAACAGAAUAUGAGGGAGGAAUGAAAAGCAAGCUCAACCACAAAUUCUUAGAAGUUACAAUUUUGCAACAGUUAUAUAGCUCUCUAUGUAGAUUCUGGUUGUCUGGAAGAGCUGCAACUCCUUGCUGAUGUCAACAGUGGUUCUGUCUGUCUUGCUGAUCCUAGAAGCACUGCCCCCCACUCUACCCCACCAAAUCCAGGAGCAGAGCAGGUGGCAAUAGCCAGGGCAGGGCAGGCACGACAAAUUUCUUCAGGAGGUUUGUCACUAGCAGAGGUUUGAUUAUGUACCUUGGUGAAUUUCGCUUCUGCCUAUUGCUUUUAGGUGCUCUUGGGGAAAAGAGUUAAGGUUGCAGGAUAUAACAAGUCAGAAGUUGUAUGUGUGUCUUAUGUGCCUUCAAGUCGAUUUUGACUUGUGGCACCCUAUGAAUCCGUGACCUCCAAUAGCAUUUGUUGUAAACCACCCUGUUCAGUUCUUGUAAGUUCAGGUCUGUCGCUUCCUUUAUGGAAUCAAUCCAUCUCGUUUGGUCUUCCUCUUUUUCUACGCCCUUCAGUUUUUCCCAGCAUUAUUUUUUCUUGUGAAUCAUGUCUUCUCAUUAUGUGUCCAAUGUAUGAUAACCUCAGUUUCAUCAUUUUAGCUUCUAGUGAUAGUUCUGGUUUAAUUUGUUCUAACACCCAAUUAUUUGUCUUUUUCGCGGCCCAUGUUAUGUGCAAAGCUCUCCUCCAACACCACAUUUCAAAUGUUGGUUUUUCUCUUACCUGCUUUUUUCACUGUCCAACUUUCACAUCCAUACAUAGAGAUCGGGAAUACCAUGGUCUGAAUUAUCCUGACUUUAGUGUUCAGUGAUACAUCUUUGCAUUUGAGGGCAUUUUCUAGUUCUCUCAUAGCUGCCUUCCCCAGUCCUAGCCUUCUUCUGAUUCCUUGACUAUUGUCUCCAUUUUGGUUAAUGACUGUGCCAACGUAUUGAAUCCUUGACAAGUUCAAUGUCCUCGUUGUCAACUUUAAAGUUACAUAGUCUUUUUGAUGUUCAGCUGUAGUCCUGCUUUUGUGCUUUCCUCUUUAACUUUCAACUGCAUUCAUUUGAGAACAUUACUGGUUUCUGCUAGCAGUAUGGUAUCAUCUGCAUAUCUUAAAUUAUUGAUAUUUCUCCCUCCAAUUUUCACACCUUCAUCUUGGUCCAAACCUGCGUUCUGUAUGAUAUCUUCUGCAUAUACAUAACACAAAUCAGGGGUGGUAACCACAGUAUGAGAGACCAUAUACAUGAUAAUGAUCAGCCUUUGAAAUUCAAAGAUGUCAUCAUGAUGGGCAAAUUGGAUUAGUUGCAUCUUGAGAUCAUAAAAUAUAAAAUCAAGCUGCUUCCCUGGCCUGUAUCAAGAAGAUAUUAAUGGAAUGCAAAGAAGCUGUUGAGAGAGAGAACUAAACCCUGGCUCUGGUGUGCUCUUCCAUCAAAAUUAUUAGGAUGUCUGCCUUCUGUCAGAGCAACACAUGUGCUGGAUUGCAGUUUGCAACUUUCAUCUCUCCAUUACAUGAUAGUGUGGUUGGAUGAAUUAAGAGAGUGUCUUCCAUCAUAUUGAUUGGAAAAGAAAUCUGCUACAGUCAAGUUGAGAAUACCACAAAGAAUCCAAUUUCAGAAGACAAUAGACAGUCUAUAAAGUCAACGUGACUUUUAUGACCUUUUUUACCUCCUCUUUUCACCAGAAGGCCUGUUAAUCCCUCCCAUCUGCUCCAAGAAAAUUGGAAACCUAUCCCUUUCUGCCACCUAGUGCCACAACAGAGAAUCACAAGCAUACAUGUAAUACUGUACAGCCAGCUUUUGAGCUUCAGUAUUUCCAGAUUCAUAUCCUGCCCUUUCUUCCAGGGUGGCAAACACUGAAAUGAUAACACAGUACAAUUAAAUAUAAUUUUUUAAAAAAAACAAAACUUUGAAAAACAUGUUAAACAGACAUCUGCUAUUAUAGGUGAUAAUUUCAAGAUUGUCCGGAACAGUUACUGUUCAGCCAUCAAAUGCCUGGGUAAACAGGAAUAUUUUCAAAUUCCUCCUGAAAGAUAAUAAUGAUGGUGAUAUACUAAUCAUUACGUACGAAUGAUACUUCGACUGAAUGUAAUGCCUUGCAGGUUCUUACGGGCCACAAAUGAAAUGAAUCUGCAAAGAUUCCAUGAAUAACUUGUGAACUUUUUUUUUCCAUAAAGAAAACAUAACAUUAAAUAUAACACAGUUUUAUAUGGUUCUCGGCUUCCAAAAACUUAAAAGAUCCUUGUCCAUGUGUCCUUUUUUUUUUUGGCAAAAUAUCUUUGCAAUCAACUGAAAAGUUCUUUUUCUUAAUCUUCAGGAGAUGAAUUGCUUUAUCCUGCUGCUCCAAACCACUGCAGCUUCAGCUAGGCCCGGAAAGUCCACAGAUUAAGCAAGGCCCUAUGAUACAUAUACAAAUAACCACCAUUCAAAUAUAUAUUCACUAAUAGGCA